rnacentral:rRNA from 1 species
CGGAGGAAAAGAAACCAACUGGGAUUACCUUAGUAACGGCGAGUGAAGCGGUAAAAGCUCAAAUUUGAAAUCUGGUACUUUCAGUGCCCGAGUUGUAAUUUGUAGAAUUUGUCUUUGAUUAGGUCCUUGUCUAUGUUCCUUGGAACAGGACGUCAUAGAGGGUGAGAAUCCCGUUUGGCGAGGAUACCUUUUCUCUGUAAGACUUUUUCGAAGAGUCGAGUUGUUUGGGAAUGCAGCUCAAAGUGGGUGGUAAAUUCCAUCUAAAGCUAAAUAUUGGCGAGAGACCGAUAGCGAACAAGUACAGUGAUGGAAAGAUGAAAAGAACUUUGAAAAGAGAGUGAAAAAGUACGUGAAAUUGUUGAAAGGGAAGGGCAUUUGAUCAGACAUGGUGUUUUUUGCAUGCACUCGCCUCUCGUGGGCUUGGGCCUCUCAAAAAUUUCACUGGGCCAACAUCAAUUCUGGCAGCAGGAUAAAUCAUUAAGAAUGUAGCUACUUCGGUAGUGUUAUAGCUUUUUGGAAUACUGUUAGCCGGGAUUGAGGACUGCGCUUCGGCAAGGAUGUUGGCAUAAUGGUUAAAUGCCGCCCGUC